AUGCAGCUACCCAGUAUGGAAACUUCUCAGUCUCCAGAACUGUUAGAAGAUGAGGACUCCAGCACAGCAUCUGCUCUCUCUGAAGAGGUCUACAGGAACAUUCUUCUGAAAUCUUUUCUCUGUUCCAUGUUUACAUUCCUGAAUUUGUUGAGUGUUUCAAGAAAAUAAAACAGGUCAUUGGAGUCAUUUUCUUUGUAAUUUUGUAUGCACUGACAGAGGUGAUCCAACUUAUACUCUCUGGUAUCCUGAUAGCUAUCAAAAAGGGUUACAUUCUAAAUUGCUAGUUCUUAUCAUUCUGUUGCCAGCAGUUCUAAAUCCUGACUACAAAUGAGAAUCACCAGCAAAGCUUUUUAAAAGUGUGGAUGCCUGCCACUCCUUUUCUCAGACUGAAAUUCUGAUUUAAUUGGCCUGUUGAAUAUUUGUAUUAUUUUAAAAGCUCAAAUAAUGAUUUUAAUGUGCAACAAGGGCUGAGAGCAACUAAUACAAACAAAUGGUGACUUAUUGCUUCAGACAACAUCUUUGGAUGGAAUAGUUUGUACUAAAAAUUUUCUCUGUGUUUAUAGACUCAGCCUAAUCACUCUAAAAACUGUUCCUAAUAAUAAAUUAGUUCAAAAAAUACA
rnacentral:lncRNA from 13 species